rnacentral:rRNA from 1 species
UACGUAGGGGGCGAGCGUUGUCCGGAAUCAUUGGGCGUAAAGCGCGUGUAGGCGGCUCGGUAAGUCCGGUGUGAAACCUUGGGGCUCAACCCCAAGCCUGCACUGGAUACUGUCGAGCUCGAGUCCGGGAGGGGAGAGCGGAAUUCCUAGUGUAGCGGUGAAAUGCGCAGAUAUUAGGAGGAACACCGGUGGCGAAGGCGGGUCUCUGGGGCAACAACUGACGCUGAGGAGCGAAAGCGUGGGGAGCGAACAGG